ACUCAAAUAUGCUCUGCGUAUAGGGUAGCUGCCUCCUUUCUUUUAACUUUUUUCCAUACAUCUAACACUUGAAAUCCAGGACUAUGGGAGUUCAACUUUUUUCCUCCUUUCUUUUGACUUGGACUGGUUACACCAUUGAAGCAUUUUCAGGACUUUAUCAAAUUCAGCUGCUUUCUGGGGUCAUGCUCUGCUUGGACAGCCGGUGCUAUACAAUAGUUUUGUUGGUGACUGGAAAUCUAAAUAUUGCAGAGAUCGAGUUGGAUGCUUUGUCCAUAUGGUAUGAACCAAAUGUACAUUUUUCUGGUCUAUGAGCUCUCUUUUCUCUUUUGUUCAUUUUAGUUAAAUAAUUUUUAUAUGGUGAACAAAGUUUAUUAUUUUAAAAGUCAUAGUAGCUUUUCAGUUUCAAGAUAAGCCGAUAUAAUCUUAUUUUGUAGUUAGAAUUAUACAUACACAAACGCUUUUUGUUAUUGUAUGAUUUCUAAUGGAAAUUGCCUCUUUGGCGGCAUCAACAUAGAUGGGUUGUUGAUGAUGAUUGUUCUAUCUUUUUUGGCUCCAACUGGGUAAUUAUUUUUUGUUUUCGAUGACCAUCUUUUUCUUUUCUUUUCUUUUCUUUUUUUUUUCUUUUUUAAAUAUUAUCAAUAAUUUAAUCCUACUUUUUUGACUUUAACUUAAAGAUAUUAAUAACUUUGAUACAAAAGAAACUAUUAAAAUUUUUUUAAAUAUUAUCAAUAAUUUAAUCCUACUUUUUUGACUUUAAGUUAAAGAUAUUAAUAACUUUUAUACAAAAAAAACUAAUAAAAAUGAAAACAAAAAAGAAAAAAAUAAUUUAAAAAUACAAAUUUUUUGUUAUAAAAGAAUCCAAAGAGCUUCAGAAAACAAGUGUUAAUUUCUAGAUGGUGCGUCGCUUGUUUUUGCGCACUGUUUUUGUUCUGCCUAUUUGCUUCUAUAUUUCCGCCAUAAAACAAACGAAUUAAAAACAUCUCUUCCUCAUCUGUGCAUAACUGAUGCCUUUAAUUUUUAUUUUCAUAAAUUUUUCUUUUUUGAUCAUAUGUAUUUCAUAACUUGAAGAAACACUCAUUAUAUAUACCUUUCAUUUUGUUGCAUUGUUACCUCUUUUUGAAAAUUUAAUUUUUUGAAAUUUUCAUGUUUGAAUUGAAUGUAUACAUAUGAAAAUGCAACAAUUUAUAUGCAUAAUUAAUAUAUAUAUAUAUAUAUAUAUAGUUUACCUGAAGAAUGACAUUGCAACAAAAAUGAAGAGAAUGUUUUUGUAAUAUUUUCAAAUAUAUAUAUAUAUAUAUAUAAUAUUAAUUAAUAAACGCAGUUUUUCAGAACAUUGCAAAUUAGGAGAAGUAUUCAUGUGAACGUGAAAAUUUUCUUGUCCUUGAAGUUCGUUCUGGGCGUUUGCCCCGUCCAAAUCAAAAGAUUAAAAAAAAAAGAAAAGUGUUGUUAAUGGUUUUGAAUAUGAAAAUUAAUAAAGUGCGGGUGGCAAAUGAGCUUGCAGCAAGAAAUGGAAGAGAAGCAAAAUUUGCUUCAACUGUAUCGGUAAUAUCAUCGAUUAUAAUCGGCCUCCUUUGCGGGGUAUUGAUUAUGAUAUUCAACAAUGAAAUCGGUUUGCUAUUUACUUCAAGUAAAGCUGUUCUUCGACAAGUUAAUAAACUCAGUCUAUUCUGCUAAACAGUGUUCAACGUAUUCACUUUGCAGUAGCAGUGGAAUGUGAAUGGCAAUUCUAUAUUGCAUACAUAAAUUUGGAUUGUUAUUAUCUGAUCGAAGUACCUUUUGGAUAUUUAAUGGGGUGGGACUUCCACAAAGAAGUUAUGAUAUGUAUUAUCCUUUUGUACACUUAUUAAGAAUUAAGAGAGCAACGAAUCAUGUGUAAGUUUAUACUGACUUCAUUGUUAAGGAAAUAGUGACUUCAUUGAUGUAGAAACAGUCUGGCAAUAAUGUUCACACUACUUUAUAUAUAAGGUUUCGAGUUCAAAUAACUUAAAUUAAAAAUAAAAAAUAAAAAAAAAAUGACUUCACCACAUGGAUGAUUAUGUGUAAAUUAUUGACAUGAUCAGGUGAUAUUUUUUUUUUUUUUUUUUUGGUCCAUAUAGUUACUAACAUUGAUACUAGUUCACCUUUCCAUUAUUUAGAAUUUUAGGAUUAACAAAACCACAUGUCAAACAAUAAAUAGAAUAUGACAAUAAUUGGCAAGUAGCAAUUUACCUAUUACAUAUGAUACUACUUUUACCACUAGAAUACAUAAUUUCUUUGGGCAUGCAAUUAUCAGGGCACUUGGGGUGGCGUGAUUGGUGGAAAAGCAAUUCAGACCUUGAUUUUUGGUAGUCAUUAGCAUUCGAUGCGAUUGGAAAAAAGAGAUAGAGAUUAAACUUUGAUACUUAUUAAAUUCAUAUAUACAUGUUUUUAGUUUUUAUUUUUUAUUUUUUUAUACUUCUUUUGUUUUAUAAAUGUUAAUUUCUUGAGACAAUUGUAUUAUUUC